GGAGAAAUGCUUUCAAUCCUCACUUGGCUCCUCUGGCCACUGUCAUUCAGUCCCAGCUACAAGCAGGUCUGACUCUUGCUCUCUCUGCUCAUAAUCUCCAAGGUCUGAAGUCUGCCUGAAAGAUGUCAUCCCUCAAAGCCAUCUUCCAGUAUAUUGAUGAAAACCAGGACCGCUAUGUCAAGAAACUUGCAGAAUGGGUGGCCAUCCAGAGUGUGUCUGCCUGGCCCGAGAAGAGAGGAGAGAUCAGAAGGAUGA